AGUGUGUGAGAGAGAGAGAGAAUUAGUGUGUGUGUGUGUGUGUGUGUGUGUGUGUGUGUGUUGCGGGGAGGGUAAAUCUUUGAAGGACUCAUUCUGUUUUAUUAAAGGAGAGGUUUCAGAGACCUGUUAUCACCGUUCUACAUCCUGUCAAUCUAUUAAAGGAGAGGUUUCAGAGACCUGUUAUCACCGUUCUACAUCCUGUUAAUCUAUUAAAGGAGAGGUUUCUGUCAAUCUAUUAAAGGAGAGGUUUCAGAGACCUGUUAUCACCGUUCUACAUCCUGUUAAUCUAUUAAAGGAGAGGUUUCUGUCAAUCUAUUAAAGGAGAGGUUUCUGUCAAUCUAUAAAAGGAGAGGUUUCUGUUAAUCUAUUAAAUGAGAGGUUUCAGAGGCCUGUUAUCACCGUUCUACAUCCUGUUAAUCUAUUAAAGGAGAGGUUUCUGUCAAUUUAUUAAAGGAAAGAUUUCUGUCAAUCUAUUAAAGGAGAGGUUUCUGUCAAUCUAUUAAAGGAGAGGUUUCUGUCAAUCUAUUAAAGGAGAGGUUUCAGAGACCUGUUAUCACCGUUCUAGAGACUACAUCCUGUUAAUCUAUUAAAGGAGAGGUUUCAGAGGCCUGUUAUCACCGUUCUACAUCCUGUUAAUCUAUUAAAGGAGAGGUUUCUGUCAAUCUAUUAAAGGAGAGGUUUCUGUCAAUCUAUUAAAGGAGAGGUUUCAGAGACCUGUUAUCACCGUUCUAGAGACUACAUCCUGUCAAUCUAUUAAAGGAGAGGUUUCAGAGACCUGUUAUCACCGUUCUAGAGACUACAUCCUGUCAAUCUAUUAAAGGAGAGGUUUCUGUCAAUCUAUUAAAGGAGAGGUUUCUGUCAAUCUAUUAAAGGAGAGGUUUCAGAGACCAGUUAUCACCGUUCUACAUCCUGUCAAUCUAUUAAAGGAGAG